UACGUAGGCAGCGAGCGUUGUUCGGAGUUACUGGGCGUAAAGCGUGCGUAGGUGGCGCGUUAAGUGAGAUGUUAAAUCGUGUGGCUCAACCAUAUCGAUGCAUCUCAUACUGGCGUGCUAGAGGACAGCAGAGGCAAGUGGAAUUGGUAGUGUAGCAGUGAAAUGCGUAGAUAUUACCAGGAACACCAAUGGCGAAGGCAGCUUGCGUGGCUACUCCUGACACUAGAGGUGACGAA
rnacentral:rRNA from 1 species